ACCAUUCAUCAGAUAGUAUAAUAGAGUUAUCAUAUGAUGAAUAAUAAUUCUAUCAUUCAAAAAAAUAUCAGAUGGAUGGUGCCUGCAAUGUCAAUCAGAAAUAAUGGAUCCAUUAUCAUUCACUUUAAUGGAAGGAUAUGAUUUAGUUAUCACCAUAACUAGCUCAUUUUAUGCACCUAAUAAUUUAAAAAAUUUGGUUAACAUAAUUUAAUAGAAUUAAAUGCAUAGACCAGCUAAUUUCAAUCCUCUCGCUG
rnacentral:lncRNA from 1 species